CACCCGUUGUGCCGUAAGCUCUAGUCUCUAACUACGAGAACGAUAUGAUAGUGUACCUAUAAAAUUCCCACCAACAUACGGUUCGUGAGUUACAGUGCUGUACAGUGCGAUUCAUUUAGACAAGUGGGAGGCGUGCGCAGAGCCGAAACCAACACGAAGAG